rnacentral:rRNA from 1 species
AACGAACGCUGGCGGCACGUUUUAAGCAUGCAAGUCGAAUGGCAGCAGGGGCAACUCUGUGAGAAUGGCGAACGGGUGAGUAACACGUAGGUGAUCUGCCUUGAGGAUGGGGAUAGCCUGUGGAAACACAGGGUAAUACCGAAUGAGCUGACGAGACUUUGGUUUUGUUAGUAAAGGUGCUACGGCACCGCCUUGAGAGGAGCCUGCGGCUGAUUAGCUAGUUGGUGGGGUAAGAGCUUACCAAGGCGACGAUCAGUAGCCGGCCUGAGAGGGUGUACGGCCACACUGGAACUGAGGCACGGUCCAGACUCCUACGGGAGGCAGCAGCUAAGAAUCUCCGCAAUGGGCGAAAGCCUGACGGAGCGAUGCCGAGUGAUCGAUGAAGGUCGAGAGAUUGUAAAGAUCUUUUCUACAUGAGGAAUAAGUCUGGGAGGGAAUGCCCGGAUGAUGACGUUAGUGUAGGAAUAAGCCCCGGCUAAUUACGUGCCAGCAGCCGCCGUAA